rnacentral:miRNA from 1 species
UAUUGGGUUGUCCAAAAAGUUCAUUUAGAUUUUUCCAUUACAUCUUAUGGAAAAACACAAAUGAACUUUCUGGCCAAUCCAAU